GCAUGAUAUUUUCUGAAGGAGAUUUAACUUCUUCAUUUUAUUUUUUUUGGUCCUGGUUUCCACGAAAGCCUUCAGCCUUGGCUCCGGCUGACCAGGGUUCUAGUCCAAACUUGGCCAUCAACUCGUGAUGCAUUUAGGCAAACCAUUCGUUCUCUCUGGGACUCUUCAUUUCCCAUCUGCAGAUGAGUGUUCUGAACUGGGUGAUGGCCAGGUUCAGCUCAAACUGCAUGUGACCCUACUUGACUUUGAACCCUGUGAAUAAUCUAAAGCUGAAUUAAAGUUGGAAGGAGGAGGGGUUCUCUCAGUGUGUUUGUUCCCUUGUUUAUUGAUUGGCUUUAAAAAAAAUUCAGGAGAGCGGUGCCUGGGUGGCUCAGUCGGUUGGGUGUCUGACUUCGGCUCAGGAGAAGGCAUUUUCCAUGAAAAAUCAACACACCAUGUCUUGGGAGAGCUGGGGAUCCUACCUGGCACCUUGUGGGAAACACUUCAGGCCUGGAUGAAAGAAGAAGGAAGACGGGGCCAAAAUGAAGUCAGGAGGAACAGAGAUGCUGCAAGCCAGAGGACACAUCACUCUAAAAGGCUUUAUAGAGAAGGCUGAGUACGGAUGGAAAAUUUAUGCCUGGAAGGAUGUUACCAUACAGAAAAGAUUUGGGGCCAUAGGGAUACUCUUACCGUUUCCACCUCACAGAGGAACAAAGUGAGGACCACAGAGACUCAACAACUGGCCUCGCGUCACAUGGUUUUUACCGUCAUGCAGCAGCACCUCUGAGAUCAGCAUGGCUAGACGUUGAAUGAUUUCCUGUUUGCUCUGUACUGCAGUCACUGGGCUCAGCUCUGGCGUUUUGGGACCUUUGGAUAUUUUGUUCAUUCAGGAUUCUGCACUUGGAUGCUCUAGUUGCCAGGCAAAGGGAUAGAUCUGAGUCGUGGUCCACCCCCCACCACAAUAAAGGACUUUGUUGAAAGCUGGCUCCA
rnacentral:lncRNA from 1 species